rnacentral:rRNA from 1 species
AUCUAUGGUCACACCAUUCUGAAUGGGCUCCAUCUCCCCUGAUCUUAGAAGCUAAGCAGGGUCAGAUCUAGUUAGUACUUCAAUAGGAGAAAUUAACUCACAUAGCUU